CUGCCGACUCCCAAUUCUGCCGACAUAGCGAGAGAGAGAGGGGGAGAGAAAGGGAGGAGGAGGUCACGGCUAAGGGGAGGGAGGAAGGAGAGGUCCGGUUUCGACGAUCCAACUCGGUGACAAGUAACGAGCCGGUCUUUUAGGAGGUGCCGAAACCGUAAGUUUGGCAUACUCCAGUCGAAUGAAAGGUGAGUGUGUCUGAUAUGGUUCUUCUCAAUAAGAUAUUGCUAUGGUGGUAUGUAUAUAUCUUGCUAAUGGUAUUUUAGCUUUCAAUAUGAUUAUCGAUAUGUAAAUAAUGCGGUGGAGGUGAUUAUAUAUCAAUGAUAUCAUGCUAAUCGAGGUUUAGCUAUUGAUAUGGAUAUAUGUGGUCGAAAUUGUAUAUCAUGCUAUAUAUUGUUUAGCUAAUGGUAUGCAUGCUUGUUGUAUGUUGAUUGUACCCGCGAAAGGAUUGUGAAGUGAGUCACACCAUAUCGUGGGCCAUGCCGUCUAAUUAACGGUGAAUGGGAGUGUGGUGUGCGGGACACAAUUCCUUGGGUACAUGGGAUGUGGCAGACGUGUCACUGUAUGUUGGUGUUUAUACAUGUGGUUAUACGAUUGAGUACUUAUGUUGAGUUUCGUGUGAUUUACAUUCAUGCCGUUAUUGUUAUGUGGUUGUUUAUUGAAUAAUAUUGCUAUGUUUGGAGAAUGUGGUGGUUAUGAUUAUUGAUAUUCUUUUGGGUAUUGUGACAUUUUAUUGAGCAUUUCUAUAUCUCACACACUCUGGUUUUCCUUUUUGGACUGCCAGGUAGCAGGUGGCUUAGAGUGGGUCCACUACUGGUCAACGCUUUGGAGAGUGCUAGACUAGCGUCGGGUGAUGUCUUUGGUUAGAUUGUUGCGUAGCUGAUUCGUCUAGAAGCUAACCUAAAUGUUAUGUAAUUAAUUGGAGAGAGGGAUAUUUAUUAUAACUUGAGAGUUGAGGUUUUGGGCGUUGACUUGGUUGUAUUUUAAGUGAGAAGUCUUCCGCUAA